rnacentral:rRNA from 1 species
AUUGAACGCUGGCGGCAUGCUUUACACAUGCAAGUCGAACGGUAACAGGCCGCAAGGUGCUGACGAGUGGCGAACGGGUGAGUAAUGCAUCGGAACGUGCCCAGUCGUGGGGGAUAACGCAGCGAAAGCUGCGCUAAUACCGCAUACGAUCUCUGGAUGAAAGCGGGGGACCGAAAGGCCUCGCGCGAUUGGAGCGGCCGGUGUCAGAUUAGGUAGUAUGUGGGGUAAAGGCCCACCAAGCCAACGAUCUGUAGCUGGUCUGAGAGGACGACCAGCCACACUGGGACUGAGACACGGCCCAGACUCCUACGGGAGGCAGCAGUGGGGAAUUUUGGACAAUGGGCGCAAGCCUGAUCCAGCAAUGCCGCGUGCAGGAAGAAGGCCUUCGGGUUGUAAACUGCUUUUGUACGGAACGAAACGGUCCGGGUUAAUACCCUGGGCUAAUGACGGUACCGUAAGAAUAAGCACCGGCUAACUACGUGCCAGCAGCCGCAGUAAAAC